rnacentral:rRNA from 1 species
AUUGAACGCUGGCGGCAUGCCUUACACAUGCAAGUCGAACGGCAGCACGGGUGCUUGCCCCUGGUGGCGAGUGGCGAACGGGUGAGUAAUACAUCGGAACAUGUCCUGUAGUGGGGGAUAGCCCGGCGAAAGCCGGAUUAAUACCGCAUACGAUCUACGGAUGAAAGCGGGGGACCUUCGGGCCUCGCGCUAUAGGGUUGGCCGAUGGCUGAUUAGCUAGUUGGUGGGGUAAAGGCCUACCAAGGCGACGAUCAGUAGCUGGUCUGAGAGGACGACCAGCCACACUGGGACUGAGACACGGCCCAGACUCCUACGGGAGGCAGCAGUGGGGAAUUUUGGACAAUGGGCGAAGGCCUGAUCCAGCAAUGCCGCGUGUGUGAAGAAGGCCUUCGGGUUGUAAAGCACUUUUGUCCGGAAAGAAAUCCUUGGCCCUAAUACGGUCGGGGGAUGACGGUACCGGAAGAAUAAGCACCGGCUAACUACGUG